UGGGGAAUUUUGGACAAUGGGCGCAAGCCUGAUCCAGCCAUGCCGCGUGAGUGAAGAAGGCCUUCGGGUUGUAAAGCUCUUUCGGCGGGGACGAAACGGUUCGUGACAACACCACGGACUAAUGACGGUACCCGCAUAAGAAGCACCGGCUAACUACGUGCCAGCAGCCGCGGUAAUACGUAGGGUGCAGGCGUUAAUCGGAAUUACUGGGCGUAAAGCGCACGUAGGCGGAUUUGUAAGUCAGGGGUGAAAUCCCGGGGCUCAACCUCGGAAACUGCCCUUGAUACUGCAAAUCUCGAGUCCGAUAGAGGUGAGUGGAAUUCCUAGUGUAGAGGUGAAAUUCGUAGAUAUUAGGAAGAACACCGGUGGCGAAGGCGGCCCACUGGCUCGAUACUGACGCUGAGGUGCGAAAGCGUGGGGAGCAAACAGGAUUAGAUACCCCAGUAGUCCCUGAGCGGGCUGGCAAGGCGCAU
rnacentral:rRNA from 1 species